UACGAAGGGGGCUAGCGUUGCUCGGAAUCACUGGGCGUAAAGGGCGCGUAGGCGGCGUUUUAAGUCGGGGGUGAAAGCCUGUGGCUCAACCAGAGAAUGGCCUUCGAUACUGGGACGCUUGAGUAUGGUAGAGGUUGGUGGAACUGCGAGUGUAGAGGUGAAAUUCGUAGAUAUUCGCAAGAACACCGGUGGCGAAGGCGGCCAACUGGACCAUUACUGACGCUGAGGCGCGAAAGCGUGGGGAGCAAACAGG
rnacentral:rRNA from 1 species